GAAUAUGAAGACUUGCUGUGCUCUUUGGGAUGAGGUAGUAGAUUGUAUAGUUUUAGGGUCAUACCCGAUCUUGGAGAUAACUAUACAGUCUACUGUCUUUCCCACGGUGUUGCUGUUCUCGUCCGAUAUC